GUUCCUGGCCUCAGAUUCUGGAUUUGUUCAGAAAGUAGCCCUGACAGGACAUGCUGUUCCAGCAGAAGUGACAGAAAUGAAGAAAUCGGAGACAAGUCUAGGGUUCCAGGCCGAGCAACUAGAAGGGUGAUCCUGCCGCCUUACGGAGACGCCCAAACACGGGCACCCACGGGAGGAUGGGUGUGGGGCAGCCCUUCCCCGGGCCACAGGGACCUGCACAGAGCCCUUCCCCGAUACGACGGACCUUGCUUCGUAAAAUCCGAACCUCCUGGAUUAGCUCCCUGCUCCAUCCCUGGCCCCGAGUGCUUUGUAAAUUGUGCAGAAGCCACCAGAUCGAUUCUCCCUUCAAUGUCUGAAGAGCGUGUGCCUGGCAGGGUCCCAGCCUUGACCUCCGCGAACCCAUUCGAUCAUCACAACAUCGCAGAAAGAUGGGAACUGUUAUCACAUCUAUUCAUGGAUGGGGAAACUGAGGCCCAUCGAGGUGAAAUCACUCGCCUGGGAUCACACAGGAGGCAAGCUGCCAGGCAGGUUUUGACCCCAGGCAGUCAAGUCCGAGGCUCGUGCUUUUAACCACUCUACUGUCUCAUGAGGGGCUCACCACUGACGGUACACAGACCCUCUCAACCACCUGCUGAGGUGCGAACUAAGAUCAUCCUCCCUUAACAGCGGACAAACCUGAGGCUCAGAGAGGCAGCCGCUGACCCCAGGUAGAGCCAAGGUUCAAGUCAAGAUGUGUUUGGUUCCAGAACCAAGCUUGGCCUCACCGGGCCAGCGCUCCCCAGGUGAUUCUGAUAUGCGGCCAGGUGGAGAACCCCUGAGCAGGGCAGUGAGUUCUGGGAAGAGUGUGCUGGCUUUGAGGCCAGCCGACGCCUGCACCGCCUUGCGGCCUGCCUCCGUCUCAUCUCUGACACGGAGGGGGUAGCACUCCCUGCCCCGCCCCCCGGGUUUCAGGAGGGGGGAAUGAGCUGAGCAGCGUGCCCACCAGAGAGCAAGCUCUGGGGACACGUCCUGCAAACCCCACAGGUACCAGCAGCGGCCACGCUGUUAGUCCCCGGACUGAGGGCCGGGGGGCCACCCUGCUCCUUCUCCCAGCUCCCGGGGGGAGAGACAAGUCCCUGGCUUCCUAGCACAGAGCUUGAGAUGCGCUGCAGAAGACCCCUCGGGGACAGUCGGAGGCCACAGCGUGCGGGUGCAGAGCGGGGGUGCUGUGGCAAAGUCCUGCCCAGAAACCCGUCCCGCACAAACACGCGUGUGCACAGGUAUGCGACACAGCUGACCCCUGCCGUGCAGCUCACGACAGCGAAAGCCAGGAAACAAGCCUGAUAACGGUAACAGCUGAUGUGUGUUUACAGCAGGAUUUCUCAACUCAGAACUAUUGACACUGGGACCGGAUCACUCUUUGCAGCGGGAGUCUGACCCGCGCAUUGUAGACUGUUAGCAUCCCUGGGAUCGGUAGCACAGCCCCCCGUCCCGGUUGCCACGUGUCCCCUGGGGGGCGAAACCCCUCCCCUGGCUGUUGCUCUGUGCAGGGCCCUGGUGCACACACUUCAGGGGAGCCGCCUCCUCCUGCAGCCCCUCCCAGCCGGAGACGGUUCCACUGUGCAGAGGUGAGAUUAGCGGUUUGGCCAAGGUCGGGGCGCGGUCGCUCCAGGAGCGCUGUGAUCUGAACCUGUGACAAGUCCCAGGCCCCUCUCUUCCGAGCCAAUUUUUUGCGGGUUCCUUGGGCGUUUCCCCGGUCCCAAUCAUGUUGUCUGGGACUGGAUGUCGUCUCAUUUCUGCUUUUCCCAUCUGGCUGCCUUGGCAUGUUCGAGAACAGACUUGCGGGGCACGAAUACUGGCUCGAGCAGAUUCUGUGACGUGGGCAGCAUUGUUUCUUUUAGGAAGUUAAAUUUGCUCAAUUAUCCACGGCCUGGAAAAUGCAGAAUACAAAGAAAAAAAAUAAAAUGUCCCACCGGACUUCCCACAGAGGCCCACCUUUUAGCAGCUUCUUCCUCUGAGUAGCUCCCUCUGUUUUGAAGUUUUGUCACAAAGUUGCAGUCUCACGAUAUAUACAACUGCGAGUCCUGCAUUCCCCAAACUAGAAGCUGGGUUUUUUUUCGUGUUGUUACAAAAUCCUCUUGGACGUUGUUUGUAAUUGUUGCCGAUUGUGGCAGAGACCCCAGUUUCUCCUCCAUUCCCCUGACCUCUCCCUCUUCUUUCAUAAUAGAAAUCUCAAGUUUUAGCUGGGCACGUGGCCACCCAGAAGAAAAAAAAAAAAAAAAAACUACGUUUCCCAGCUGUGUCCAUGUGACUCAGUUCUGGCCAAUGAGACAUAAGUAACCUCUAAGUAGUGUCCUCAGGGCGAGGGUGCCUGCUCUUCUUCCUAUCCUCCUUGCUGCCUGGAAUGCAGAUGUGAUGGCCAGCAUCUGAGUGGCCAUCCUGGGCCAUGGUGGCGCAACAAGAGAAAAGACAUGCGAAUCCCUGGUGAAUUUAUGACGACACCCUACCAGCCCUGGACUGCCGCCUCCACACUUCUUUUAUAUAAGGGAGAAACAAACUUCUGUUUCAUCUAAGCCCCUGGCAUCUUGGGCUUUUAGCCGCUCAAAGAGGAACCUAAUCCUGAGUAUUGCACUAAUAUUUUGCUGGAGGAAUUGUCUCUAAUUCUUUUAGGAAUUACCACCUAAUUAGCUCAACCGUUCCCUGGUCAUUGAGCAUUUAGGUAGUUUCUGACUUCCUGCUACUCAUAGCCAUUAUCCCAGGUGGGCCCCCGAGUCAGGACGGCAGGCUACGCAGCCAGGUACGAGCUGCCCAGGGAGCCUGCUUUGUUGCUGAGGACCCUCCCACUGCAUCUGCUAGAUGCACGGUGCGUUCUCCUCCACACCUCCC